rnacentral:misc_RNA from 1 species
GUUUGGAUGAAAUUUUGGUUUAACAGACAGUGAUAGUAAAGUCACAGAAUUUAUGGAAAAGAAGAUGAAAAGGGGGGAAAGAUUUGCUUUUUCCUCUGAAAACCAAAUUAAAAGGUAAAGACUUUUAAGAUGGGAUAAUGAAAUCUUGGAGUAGAAAGUAUAAAAGAUUUGCUUUUUAUUGCUCUAAGCUGUAAAAUUUAUAAAAGGACAAAUAGUGAUGGUAGUCAGCAAAGAAAUGGAUUUCACAUGUUUUCUCU